GAUUAACGCUGGCGGCGUGCAUAACACAUGCAGGUCGAACGAUGAAACUUAGUAGACUUCUUCGGAAAGACACUAAGCGGCUUAGUGGCGAACGGGUGAGUAACGCGUGAGUAACCUGCCUUACACAAGGGGAUAGCCUUUGGAAACGAAGAAUAAUACCCUAUAAAACCAUAAAAGCACAUGCUAGAAUGGUCAAAGUGAUAGCGGUGUAAGAUGGACUUGCGUCUGAUUAGCUAGUUGGUGAGAUAAAAGCUCACCAAGGCAACGAUCAGUAGCCGGCUUGAGAGAGUGUACGGCCACAUUGGGACUGAGACACGGCCCAGACUCCUACGGGAGGCAGCAGUGGGGAAUUUUGCACAAUGGGGGAAACCCUGAUGCAGCGACGCCGCGUGAUUUAGAAGGCCUUCGGGUUGUAAAAAUCUUUUGUAUAGGAAGAAAAUGACAGUACUAUACGAAUAAGGUCCGGCUAAUUACGUG
rnacentral:rRNA from 1 species